GGUGCCGCUCCCGGACCCGGAGGAUCCGGCCCCGCUCUGGCUCAGCCGCGGCCGUCGGUUUUCCUACCGGGACUCGGAAUUCCGGCGCCUGGGCCGGGUCCAGCUCUCCUUCCUGCGCCUGCUCAGCGCCUCCGCCCGCCAGCGCCUGGCCCUGCCCUGCCCCCCACACCCCCCGCACCCCCAGAAUCAUUCCCGGGAUUCCCAGAAUUCCCAGAAUUCCGGAAUUCCCGGCCUCUCCCUGCGCCUCCUGGGGGCCAACGAGGAGGAGCUGGCGGCCGACGGCGUCCGCGUGCUGCGCGACGGAUGCGGGUCCCGCGGGGGCCGCCCGGAGCUGGAGCUGGAGCUGGGCCGGGCGCGGCCGGAGCUGCUCCCGCUGCUGGAUCUGCGCCUGGAGCCCCCCGGAAUUCCCAGAACCCCCCGGAAUUCCGCCCUCCGCCUCGGGCCCGUCUGCUUCCUGGGAUAGAAUACGCCAAAUUCCCAAAUUUUCCCCUAAAAUUCCCAAAUUUCCCCCCAAAAUUCCCAAUUUUUCCCCCCAAAAUUCCCAAUUUUUACAGCCAAAAUUCCUUUUUUUUCCCAUUUUUUCCCCCAAAUUCCACUUUUUCUCCCAAAAUUCCCAUUGAAUUCCCAUUUUCCCCCCAAUUUCCCAAUUUUUCUCACAAAAUUCCCAAUUUUCCCCCAAAAUUCCCAAUUUUUUCCCAUUUUCCCCCAAAUUCCCAAUUUUUUCCCCAUUUUUCUCCCAAAAAUUCCAUUUUUUUCUCCCAAAAUUCCCAUUUUAUUCCCAUUAUUCCCCCAAAAUUCCCAAUUUUUUCCCAUUUCCCCCCAAAAUUCCAUUUUUUCUCCCCAAAUUCCCAUUUAAUUCCCAUUUUCCCCUCAAAAAAUUCCCAAAUUUCCCCCAAAAUUCCCAUUUUCUCCCCAAAAUUCCCGAUUUUUUCCCAUUUUCCCCUCAAAUUCCAUUUUUUCUCCCAAAAUUCCCAUUUUAUUCCCAAUUUUCCCCAAAAAAUUCCCAUUUUUCUGCCCAAAUUCGCAAUUUUCCCCCCAUUUUUGUCCCCAAAAUUCCAUUUUUUCUCCCAAAAUUCCCAUUGAAUUCCCAUUUUCCCCACCAAAAUUCCCAUUUCCCCCCCAAAAUUCCC